rnacentral:lncRNA from 1 species
CUUUUCCACUCUUUUAUUUUCUCCAUUUUCUCCCUGUAUUUAAUUUGAAUAUUUUCGAUUGACUUGUCUUUAGAUUUCCUAAUCCUGUCUGCUGUGGUUUGAAUGUGUUCUACAAAGUUCAUGUGUUAAAAAUGUAAUCCCCAAUCCAACAGUGCUGAGAGAUAGACCUUUAAGAGGUGAUUAGGUCAUAAAGGCUCUGCCCUCAUAAAUGGAUUAAUGUCAUUAUCAUGGGAUUGAGUUUGAUUUGGCCUUCUCUCACUCUCUCUUGAGAUUUCUUGCCUUUCUGUCUUCCAUGACAGGAUGAUAAAGCAAGAAAGGCCUCAUCAGGUGCCAAGACCUUGAUAUUGGACUUCCCAGCCUCCAGAGCUAGGCCAAGGUGGGCGGAUCACUUGAGGUCAGGAGUUGAAGACCAGCCGGGUCAACAUGGUGAAACCCUCUCUCUACAAAAAUACAAAAAUUAGCCAGGCAUGGCGGCAGGUAAUCCCAGCAACUCCAGAGGCUGAAGUGGGAGAAUCUCUUAAACCCAGGAGGCAGAAAUUGCCAUGAGCCGAGAUCACGCCACUGCCCUCCAGCCUGGGUGACAGGGCAAGACUCUGUCUCAAAAUAAAUAAAUAAAUAUUACCAAG